CUUCGGGGAUACGACUGUGAAUGGGACAAAAGCCCACCCCUAAGAUGCUUAGUCUGAUUAGGGAGACAGGUCACUGCCAUAUGGAAUGUUAAACGUUGUAAUGAGCACAUAUAGAAGGAGCUCCAACUCAGCCUGGGGCAGGGGAAGAAUUUCAAGCCGAGAAGACAGGUUGGGAGUUUGGAAAGGCACCACACGCCCCAGCGCACUGUCUAUGGGCAAAAUGAAACCAGAGCACUCAACCUCUCAGCACAACAGCUUUCGGCCACUCACCUAAGAAGCAAAGCAGUUGGUGGGGAGCUGUGACCAGACCAGCUGACAGUGCUAAUUAAAACAUCCAACCCAUGUGUAUGCAAAUCCAGAAACAGCGUGUCAGGGAAGAUAACUCCUGAUCCGAACUCAUCCCCAGAGCUUUUCCUGAGCCCAGCUGUUGAGAGGCAAUCUGCAGCACGGCCACUUGAUAAAAUUAUUUCUGUUUGGUUCUCGAUCGCUAUCACUCCCACAGUUCAGCCUGCUUUGCCCAUGUUCGAGCGAGUCAGCCCAGGACCGAUAAAUCACGGGAGUCCACAGUUUUGUUCUACAGCCUCCUCGAUUCACUUAACUAUUUAAGAAACGCCUACUAUGUGCGGCCCUUCUGCUAGAUGCCGGGAAUACAGAAAUGGACAGACUCUGGCACACGAUAUUUUGAAGCUAGCGGGAGAAAGUCAAAUAAAAAGAGAAGUUGUAAUCAGAGAUAUGAAAUGGCCAGUUGUUGUUGGAGCAGGGGAAGAUACUGACCAGCAUUCUUGGGAAAUCAGGCAAGUUUCUUAUUGGCGGAACUUUUAGAAAACGGCGAGUGGUGAAGUUUGCCGGGGGGCAGGGGGAAGAUUGCCCCGACAAAGCCUGCUUGGCUGUUAAAGGGCAGCGCUUGGAUACCCGUGAGAAGCUCCCUAUGGCUGCAGCAAGAGGCGUGAGGGGUGCAGAGCCGGAGAUGAGGCGGGUACGAUAUUGGCAGGACCCGCUUCCGCACAGUGAGGUGCCACCUGAGAGGGGACAAGGGGAGGGGAAAGAUCGGUCCCUGAGAUGGCAUGUGCCAGCACGAGCCAGAUACUCCGCACGCGCCAUCUCCUCCGACCCACCCCUGUGA